rnacentral:lncRNA from 1 species
AAGGGUAUCUUUAGGAAGGGAAUUAGUUAUAUAGCAGAGGGUGGGGUAGGAGAGCGUAGACAAUGAUUGAAAAUGUUUAUCUUCCUCUCUGGUUGAAUUCUUUCUGUUGCUUUUAUAUUGCUCACUUUUCGCAAAGGUAACACGUUGUACCUUGUGCUUUACUUUCCAAAUUAAAGGCAAGCACCGACCCUUAGUCGGUGGCUUUUUUCCCUGGG